rnacentral:rRNA from 1 species
GCGUGCUUAACACAUGCAAGUCGAACGAGAAUAGAUGAGAAGCUUGCUUCUUAUUGAUUCGAGUGGCAAACGGGUGAGUAACGCGUAAGCAACCUGCCCUCUAGAUGGGGACAACAGCUGGAAACGGCUGCUAAUACCGAAUACGUUCUUUCUGUCGCAUGGCAGAGGGAAGGAAGGGAGGCUCUUUGGAGCUUUCGCUGGAGGAGGGGCUUGCGUCUGAUUAGCUAGUUGGAGGGGUAACGGCCCACCAAGGCGACGAUCAGUAGCCGGUCUGAGAGGAUGAACGGCCACAUUGGGACUGAGACACGGCCCAGACUCCUACGGGAGGCAGCAGUGGGGAAUCUUCCGCAAUGGACGAAAGUCUGACGGAGCAACGCCGCGUGAACGAUGACGGCCUUCGGGUUGUAAAGUUCUGUUAUACGGGACGAAUGGUACGACGGUCAAUACCCGUCGUAAGUGACGGUACCGUAAGAGAAAGCCACGGCUAACUACGUGCCAGCAGCCGCGGUAAUACGUAGGUGGCAAGCGUUGUCCGGAAUUAUUGGGCGUAAAGGGCGCGCCGGCGGCGUCGUAAGUCGGUCUUAAAAGUGCGGGGCUUAACCCCGUGAGGGGACCGAAACUGCGAUGCUAGAGUAUCGGAGAGGAAAGCGGAAUUCCUAGUGUAGCGGUGAAAUGCGUAGAUAUUCGGAGGAACACAGUGGCGAAAGCGGCUAUCUGGACGACAACUGACGAUGAGGCGCGAAAGCCAGGCGAGCAAACGGGAUGAGAUACCCCGGUAGUCGGGGCCGUUUACGAUGGAUACUAGGUGCAGGAGGUAUCGACCCCUUCUGUGCCGGAGUUAACGCAAUAAGUAUCCCGCCUGGGGA